CAGUCAUCUAUUAUAGAUGUGGGAACGUGAAGCUUCUCAAAGGUCAAAUGGUGAAAAAUGCCAUAGUCGAUUGCAGGUUGAGUCUCUCCCAUUUCUGAGAGGACUCAUCACACCUAAUUUGAGUAAUUUCCUUUUCAAUUUCCUGGGCCAUUUUAUUUUACCUCUGGCUGCCCCUUGGAUGAGUGCAGUUUCCUUUGCUGUGAUAAAACACCAUCCCAAAAGCAACUAGGAGAGAAGGGUGUGUGUCAUCUUACAGCUUGUAAACCAUCAUCCAGGAAAGGCAGGGAAGGAACUCAAGGCAGGUACCUAGAGGAAAAAGAAACUUGGAGUAAGAUGAAAGAAGAAAGAGGAAAGACAAGAAAUCAAGAACUCCAAAGGUCACAAGGCAGGAACAUAAGAAAAGAAAUAAAAUUUUUCUCUUUGUAUUAAAAUUUUUAAUAUUAUAAUGUAAUAAUUAUACUAUAAAUAUCAGGGAACAUCUCUA
rnacentral:lncRNA from 1 species